GUGCUUGCUUCGGUGGCACAUAGACUAAAAUUGGAACGAUACAGAGAUGACUAGCAUGGCCCCUGCACAAGGAUGACAUGCAAAUAAUAGCAAAAUGCUAGCCUAUUUU
ensembl:snRNA U6 U6 spliceosomal RNA